UACGUAGGGCGCAAGCGUUAUCCGGAAUUAUUGGGCGUAAAGAGCUCGUAGGCGGUUUGUCGCGUCUGCCGUGAAAGUCCGGGGCUCAACUCCGGAUCUGCGGUGGGUACGGGCAGACUAGAGUGAUGUAGGGGAGACUGGAAUUCCUGGUGUAGCGGUGGAAUGCGCAGAUAUCAGGAGGAACACCGAUGGCGAAGGCAGGUCUCUGGGCCACUACUGACGCUGAGACACGAAAGCGUGGGUAGCAAACAGG
rnacentral:rRNA from 1 species